rnacentral:rRNA from 1 species
UACGUAGGAGGCGAGCGUUGUCCGGAUUUACUGGGCGUAAAGAGCGUGUAGGCGGCCAGACAGGUCCGUUGUGAAAACUGGAGGCUCAACCUUCAGACGUCGACGGAAACCGUCUGGCUAGAGUCCGGAAGAGGAGAGUGGAAUUCCUGGUGUAGCGGUGAAAUGCGCAGAUAUCAGGAAGAACACCGAUGGCGAAGGCAGCUUGCUGGGACGUUACUGACGCUAAGGCGCGAAAGCGUGGGGAGCGAACAGG